GAGACAGCAGUAGCCGCGGUAAUACGAAGGGGGCAAGCGUUGUUCGGAUUUACUGGGCGUAAAGCGUACGUAGGCGGAUAUUUAAGUCAGGGGUGAAAUCCCGAGGCUCAACCUCGGAACUGCCUUUGAUACUGGAUAUCUUGAGUCCGAGAGAGGUGAGUGGAACUCCUAGUGUAGAGGUGAAAUUCGUAGAUAUUAGGAAGAACACCAGUGGCGAAGGCGGCUCACUGGCUCGGAACUGACGCUGAGGUACGAAAGCGUGGGGAGCAAACAGGAUUAGAUACCCGAGUAGUCCCUGUCUCUUAUAC
rnacentral:rRNA from 1 species